UACAGAGGGUGCGAGCGUUAAUCGGAGUGACUGGGCGUAAAGGGCGCGUAGGCGGUUAGAUUAGUCUGAUGUGAAAGGUCUGGGCUUAACCUGGGAUUGGCAUUGGAGACGGUCUAGCUAGAGUCUAAGAGAGGGAAGUGGAAUUUCCGGUGUAGCGGUGAAAUGCGUAGAUAUCGGAAAGAACACUCGUGGCGAAGGCGGCUUUCUGGCUUAGCACUGACGCUGAGGCGCGAAAGCGUGGGGAGCGAACAGG
rnacentral:rRNA from 1 species